UCAAAUUGUACUUAUCUUGCACAAAUCGCGUUGAUCCGUGUAUGCAUCAGGUAGUAUCCGUCAAAAUCCUCUUGCGACGAUGCUUCGACAAAGGAUGAUGUUUCGAAGUCAAAAAGAGAAUAACACCAUUGGCCGUGAAAUAAGUACCAUAAUCAGUACAUGAUUUUGUAUUUAACGUGUUUGAUAAUUUGCUACAGAGAAAAGCUGAGAGAUCCGUCCUCACGAUUUCUAUUGAUUUCAUGUUCCAGGAAUUUGAGAAAAGGUUCGAACACUUUAGUGCAAAUGAAAGAUUUGUGUUGUGAUAUAGAAAUUGGGAUUUUUUUUAACAUCAUUUUUAACUCUUCGUGUUGGGAUUUGUGUUGUGCAAAAAGUAAUCUUAGUGUUUUGUUUUUUAAUUCUUCUGGAUUCAAUUUAUUUUGGUUUUGUAUAGAUGCCAUGAUAAUUUGUAAUUAAUUUUUUUAA